CGAAAUGCGAUAAGUAAUGUGAAUUGCAGAAUUCAGUGAAUCAUCGAAUCUUUGAACGCUCCUCGCGCUCCUUGGUAUUCCUUGGAGCAUGCCUGUUUGAGUAUCAUGAAAUCUUCAAAGUAAAUCUUUUGUUAACUCAAUUGGUUUCUACUUUGGUAUUGGAGGUCUUUGCAGCUUCACACCUGCUCCUCUUUGUUCAUUAGCUGGAUCUCAGUGUUAUGCUUGGUUCCACUCGGCGUGAUAAGUUAUCUAUCGCUGAGGACACUGUAAAAGGUGGCCAAGGUAAAUGCAGAUGAACCGCUUCUAAUAGUCCAUUGACUUGGACAAUACUUUUAUGAUCUGAUCUCAAAUCAGGUAGGACUACCCGCUGAACUUAAGC
rnacentral:misc_RNA from 1 species